rnacentral:rRNA from 1 species
ACUCCGGUUGAUCCUGCCGGACCUGACUGCUAUCAGAACGGGACUAAGCCAUGCGAGUUUGCCAUUCAGAGCAUGUUGUUUGGCGGCGAACGGCUCAGUAACACGUAGUCAACCUGCCCUCGAGUCGAGAAUAAUCUCGGGAAACUGAGGCUAAUGCUCGAUAG